rnacentral:rRNA from 1 species
AACGAACGCUGGCGGCGUGGAUAAGACAUGCAAGUCGGACGAGAUUUUUCGUUGUAGCAAUACGAUGAAAAGUCUAGUGGCGAACGGGUGCUUAACACGUGGGCAACCUGCCAAGAAGUGGGGGACAGCUCGCCGAAAGGCGGAUUAAUACCGCAUGUGAUUAGAGAGGACAUCCUUUCGAAAUUAAAGUCGGGGCAACCUGACGCUUCUUGUUGGGCCCGCGGCCUAUCAGCUAGUUGGUGGGGUAACGGCUCACCAAGGCUUUGACGGGUAGCUGGUCUGAGAGGACGACCAGCCACACUGGGACUGAGACACGGCCCAGACACCUACGUGUGGCAGCAGUCGAGAAUUUUUGACAAUGGGGGAAACCCUGAUCGAGCGACGCCGCGUGGAGGAUGAAGGUCUUCGGAUUGUAAACUCCUGUCAUUGGGGAACAAGGUGCAUACGUUAACUGCGUGUGCAUUGAUAGCACCCGAAGAGGAAGAGACGGCUAACUCUGUGCCAGCAGCCGCCGUAAGAC